rnacentral:rRNA from 1 species
CUCCUAGAUGUUCUGGGCUGCACGCGCACUACACUGAUGGCUAAAACGAGUACCCCGUUCCGGGUCCUGCUUCGAAAGGAGUGGGAAAUCUUCGUAACAGCCAUCGUGACUGGGAUAGAUGAUUGCAAUUAUUUGCCCUGAACGAGGAAUGCCUAGUACAGGCGAUUCAUCAGAUCGCCUGGAUUACGUCCCUGUCAUUUGUACACACCGCCCGUCGUUGCUACCGAUGGUAGUCGAAUAGAGGCAUUGGGAGAGCGCUGUGGUGUUCGCACUUGCAGAGGCUCAAACUUCACCGAUAUUUGACUACUAGAGGAAGCAAAAGUCGUAACA